rnacentral:rRNA from 1 species
UACGUAGGGUGCAAGCGUUGUCCGGAAUUAUUGGGCGUAAAGAGCUCGUAGGCGGUCUGUCGCGUCUGCUGUGAAAACUCAGGGCUUAACCCUGAGCUUGCAGUGGGUACGGGCAGACUAGAGUGCGGUAGGGGGAGACUGGAAUUCCUGGUGUAGCGGUGAAAUGCGCAGAUAUCAGGAGGAACACCGGUGGCGAAGGCGGGUCUCUGGGCAGUAACUGACGCUGGAGGAGCG